rnacentral:rRNA from 1 species
CCUACGGGUGGCAGCAGUGGGGGAUAUUGCACAAUGGGGGGAACCCUGAUGCAGCGACGCCGCGUGGGUGAAGAAGCGCCUCGGCGCGUAAAGCUCUGUCAGCAGGGAAGAAAAUGACGGCACCUGAAGAAGAAGCCCCGGCUAACUACGUGCCAGCAGCCGCGGCAAUACGCAGGGGGCAAGCGUUAUCCGGAUUUACUGGGUGUAAAGGGGGCGCAGACGGCGGUGCAAGCCAGGAGUGAAAGCCCGGGGCCCAACCCCGGGACUGCACUUGGAACUGCGUGGCGGGAGUUCAGGCGGGGCAGGCGGAAUUCCUGGUGUAGCGGUGAAAUGCGUAGAUAUCAGGAGGAACACCGGUGGCGAAGGCAGCCUGCUAAACUGCAACUGACGUUGAGGCCCGAAAGCGUGGGGAGCAAACAGGAUUAGAUACCCGGGUAGUC